UGUGGUGACAUUGGUAUAACAUAUAGGUGAGAUGUAGGAGUACAUCAUCACUAAACAAGUGACUCACCUACUGAGAAUUCUGCUAUCAAGAGCUGCUCGUAAAAUAUAUGGGGAUAAGUAUCUUUCAUAUCUGAGAUCACCAUAGUGACUUGCAAACAACUCACUGUGCUUUGAUGCUGAACUAUCUGAAUUUCUAAUACAGUGAUGAAAGGCUA
rnacentral:lncRNA from 1 species